GAAAAACUGAAUGGAUAAAUGAUGCAGGACGGGUGCGGUGGCUCAUGCCUGUAAUCCCAGCACUUUUGGAGCCAAGGCAGGCAGAUCACAAGUGUGAAGUCCUUUGUGAAUGAGCCACAUUUUUUACUCAUUCAAGUCCCUACAGCAUAAUCACAUAGAUUAACUCACUUGGAUCGUUAAUUGUUACACUGUAAGAACUCCACAAACUUGAUCAGAGAGAUUCCACUUAUUUCAAAGUUACUGAGGCCAGAACAGUUCUCCCUCAUCCCUUCAAGCAUGUCUCCUGAUGUCUCCCAAAGAAUGCACUCCUCUGGCCUAUGCCUGAUUACUCUGCAGAAACUCCCGUGGUUUCUGCGAUCUCAGCAACUUCUGUCACAGAGGCUCUGGAAAUACUCUACUGAAAACGUUCAUGGAUAGAAGGACACUUCUAUAAAAGACGGAGUUGGUUGUACUUCCCAUGAAACCAUUAUUGAAGACACACAUUUGCAUAACAGCAAUGAGAGAAAAACUCUGUAUCACACAGGACUCAAUUCCACUGUCCAAUUAUCUGCCUCUUCACCUCUGAAUUGCCACACAGCUGCUCCGAGGAAGAAAGUGAGAUCAAGUCAGCCAUGCAAGAUACUGUGCCCUGAGAUGCUGGAUCCUGUGGCAAAGCUUCCCUGCUGCUCCAGAAGCGCUGGAUGAGCCCUGUGGGGAAGUAUGAGGGCCCAGGAGGACCAGGGUGAACCUCUAGUUAAUCCGACAUGGAAAAGGAGGCUCCACGCCAAUCACCAAGAGUAAAUUUAAACAUGAAACUCACCACAUUACCUUUUGGAUUUUUGACCAUGAAUUUGGAUAUCCUGGGUUGGACAGUGAUCUUACUUAGCUUUGCUACAGUGGAGAGGCAGCCUUUUUAUUUGUGUUUGCUUCCCUUAAAGGAAGCCUUCAACAGUAAAAGUCAACAGAAUCUUGAAUGCCAACUGUGACUGGACACAGAUAUCAGUGAUGCAAUUACUGCACAUUAAUCCGAACUCUCUGUGGGGCUCGCUUGUUUCCAUUUCUUGCUCUUCAUGUCCCUGAGGUUAAAACAAAAACAAAAACAAACCCCCCAAAAAGCAAAAAGCCUGUUUUUAUUUUUUUUCAGUUAGAAUAAGGAACUUUUAUGACUUUACACCACCCACUUCUUUCAGCCCUGACACAGGCUUCUACUUCACCUCACCACAUUGUUUUCAUCUUGCUUAAGUUCACCUGAAGAUCACAAGAUGCAGAUGCAAACAGGCCCAUGAUCGUUGUUCAUUCCCUGGGGUACUCACCAUGUCACUUGAACAAAACCCAUAGCCUUUCUGUUUAUUUUUCUACUUUUAACUAUUCCUCAGUGGUAAAGGUAGGUGUAAUAUCUAGUUAAUUUAUUCAUUUUGCAAAUUAAUUUCACUCCACUAGGCACUAGAUCUACAAACAUGAAUGGUGCCUGCCCUCAAGGGGUUUCAAUCCACUAGACAUAGAUUAUGAAUUAGAAAGGACUCCCUGUAAUAAAAUGUGAUGCGGGCUCUGAGGAGGACAGCUCCUGAGCACCCUACCU
rnacentral:lncRNA from 10 species